rnacentral:rRNA from 1 species
CACGUAGUUAGCCGGGGCUUCUUGGUCAGGUACCGUCCAAAGUCCAAAGGACUUUCUUUCUUCCCUGCUGAUAGAGCUUUACGUACCGAAAUACUUCUUCACUCACGCGGCGUCGCUGCAUCAGGGUUUCCCCCAUUGUGCAAUAUUCCCCACUGCUGCCUCCCGUAGGAGUUUGGGCCGUGUCUCAGUCCCAAUGUGGCCGUUCACCCUCUCAGGCCGGCUACUGAUCGUCGCUUUGGUGGGCCGUUACCCCGCCAACUGGCUAAUCAGACGCGGAUCCAUCGUAUACCACCGGAGUUUUUCACACUGUUCCAUGCGGAACCGUGCGCUUAUGCGGUAUUAGCACCUAUUUCUAAGUGUUAUCCCCCUGUAUACGGCAGGUUAUCCACGCGUUACUCACCCGUCCGCCACUAAUCCAUACAUCACUAGGUUUCAAUAUGGAUCCGUUCGACUUGCAUGCGUUAGGCACGCCGCCAGCGUUCAUCCUGAGCCAGGAUCAAACUCU